rnacentral:rRNA from 1 species
CUACGGGCCGCUGCAGUGGGGAAUAUUGCACAAUGGAGGAAACUCUGAUGCAGCAACGCCGCGUGGAGGAUGACACUUUUCGGAGCGUAAACUCCUUUUAUAUAGGAAGAAGAUGACGGUACUAUAUGAAUAAGCGCCGGCUAACUCCGUGCCAGCAGCCGCGGUAAUACGGAGGGCGCAAGCGUUACUCGGAAUCACUGGGCGUAAAGAGCGUGUAGGCGGAUUAAAAAGUCAGAAGUGAAAUCCUAUAGCUUAACUAUAGAACUGCUUCUGAAACUCUUAAUCUAGAAUAUGGGAGAGGUAGAUGGAAUUUCUGGUGUAGGGGUAAAAUCCGUAGAGAUCAGAAGGAAUACCGAUUGCGAAGGCGAUCUACUAGAACAUUAUUGACGCUGAGACGCGAAAGCGUGGGGAGCAAACAGGAUUAGAUACCCCUGUAGUC